AUUGAACGCUGGCGGCAUGCUUUACACAUGCAAGUCGAGCGGCAGCGCGGGGGGCAACCCUGGCGGCGAGCGGCGAACGGGUGAGUAAUGCAUCGGAACGUAUCCUGUAGUGGGGAAUAACUCACCGAAAGGUGAGCUAAUACCGCAUAAGCUCUGAGGAGGAAAGCGGGGGACCGAAAGGCCUCGCGCUGCAGGAGCGGCCGAUGUCCGAUUAGCUAGUUGGUGAGGUAAAGGCUCACCAAGGCGACGAUCGGUAGCUGGUCUGAGAGGAUGAUCAGCCACACUGGGACUGAGACACGGCCCAGACUCCUACGGGAGGCAGCAGUGGGGAAUUUUGGACAAUGGGGGAAACCCUGAUCCAGCCAUGCCGCGUGAGUGAAGAAGGCCUUCGGGUUGUAAGACUCUUCGUACGGAACGAAUUAGCUUGGUACUAAUACUCUGAGUAGAUGACGGUACCGUAAGAAGAAG
rnacentral:rRNA from 1 species